rnacentral:rRNA from 1 species
AGAGUUUGAUCCUGGCUCAGACGAACGCUGGCGGCGUGCUUAACACAUGCAAGUCGAACGAUGAAGCCCUUCGGGGUGGAUUAGUGGCGAACGGGUGAGUAACACGUGGGCAAUCUGCCCUUCACUCUGGGACAAGCCCUGGAAACGGGGUCUAAUACCGGAUACCACUCCUGCCUGCAUGGGCGGGGGUUGAAAGCUCCGGCGGUGAAGGAUGAGCCCGCGGCCUAUCAGCUUGUUGGUGGGGUAAUGGCCCACCAAGGCGACGACGGGUAGCCGGCCUGAGAGGGCGACCGGCCACACUGGGACUGAGACACGGCCCAGACUCCUACGGGAGGCAGCAGUGGGGAAUAUUGCACAAUGGGCGAAAGCCUGAUGCAGCGACGCCGCGUGAGGGAUGACGGCCUUCGGGUUGUAAACCUCUUUCAGCAGGGAAGAAGCGAAAGUGACGGUACCUGCAGAAGAAGCGCCGGCUAACUACGUGCCAGCAGCCGCGGUAAUACGUAGGGCGCAAGCGUUGUCCGGAAUUAUUGGGCGUAAAGAGCUCGUAGGCGGCUUGUCACGUCGGAUGUGAAAGCCCGAGGCUUAACCUCGGGUCUGCAUUCGAUACGGGCUAGCUAGAGUGUGGUAGGGGAGAUCGGAAUUCCUGGUGUAGCGGUGAAAUGCGCAGAUAUCAGGAGGAACACCGGUGGCGAAGGCGGAUCUCUGGGCCAUUACUGACGCUGAGGAGCGAAAGCGUGGGGAGCGAACAGGAUUAGAUACCCUGGUAGUCCACGCCGUAAACGUUGGGAACUAGGUGUUGGCGACAUUCCACGUCGUCGGUGCCGCAGCUAACGCAUUAAGUUCCCCGCCUGGGGAGUACGGCCGCAAGGCUAAAACUCAAAGGAAUUGACGG